rnacentral:lncRNA from 1 species
CUCGGCUCUGAGGGUAUAGUCCCACCUACUGGAAGAGAAGAAAAUAGAACUCUAAGACUUCAUUUAUCAUUUUUUUCUAUUCCUUUUUUCUUUUUUUCCCUUUUCAAUUUUUAUUGUUCUUUCCAUUCUCCUCUAUUCUACCUAUUUUUCUCUCCCUCUUUUUCUUUAAGGACUACUUCCUUCCCCUUCUCCCUAACGUUCACCCCAAGCAUUACGACUUUCAUUACGGGUAAUUUUCUAAAUGCAAAUAGGUAAAUGUUCCGAGGCUGUCUAUAGGGCUUCUAAGUACCUAGCUACUACCAAAUACCCUGAUCCUUUUGCCUGUUAAUAUCCCCCUUCAGUAGAGCAAUCUUCCAAGUUGCCAAGACAUACUACCCUUCAUACCAUCAUAGCACCCAACCUAAACAUAAAGUCCUAAGACCAAACAACAGAUCACUAUAUGCCUACAGAAUCCAUAAGCCUUUUAUGAAUUGAAUGAAUCAGCUUUAAAUUACAAUAAAGCCCAACAGCUCUAGACAUAGUCUCCCACCACAAAGGAGAGACCACAGAGAUAUACAAAACCAAAACAAAAUUUAUAGGAGAAAACAGAAACACAGCAGUUAAACAGAGUUGGAAAGUAACGUGAACACCAUGGAAAAACAAGGGACAAAAAGGAUUACAAACAAUGAAAGAAUACUUUGAAAAUGAAUUACAUAAGCAGAUUCAAGAAGCAAAAAAUCAACUCUACCAGGAGAUAGAGAUUUAAAAAAAAAUCAUACAGUAAUCCUAGAAAUGCAGGAAACCAUAAACCAGAUCAAAAACUGAAAUGAGAAUAUUACAAGUAGACUAGAUCAAAUAGAAGUCAGAACAUCAGAUAAUGAAGACAAAGGUUAUCAACUUGAAAAGAGUAUAGUCAACGCAGAAAGGCUGGUAAGAAACCACGAGCAAAACAUCCAAGAGAUAUGGGAUGUCAUAAAAAAAA